UUACAAAGUACUAAAUGGCUGAAUUAAAUGACAUCUACACUGUCGAUUGAUCUUAUGUAUCAAUGUAAAUAGACAGUUAGAAAAGACAUUCGACACGAGAUCGCAUUGCUGCUAUGAAUUGCAAGUGGAAUGGAUUAUUUAACGUUGGGGAGGACUUCGAUGAUGAGGAUCUACUUGAGAUGGACUGGUCUGCUCCAUCAGUGUCUGCUAGCACACUGUCCUCUGCAGCACAGUCCUGUUUCCUCCGUUCAACUGCAACAUCAACUCCUGCUGCCCCCUAUGGUCAGAAUAACUCACAUCAACCAACCACAGAAGGCAUAUUUGCCCAUAGGGGCCUGUCGAAUGGCCCAGGGUCAGAUAAUUCAACACCGAACAGUGUAGGGCAGUCUCCUGCUUUGGGUUUGAGACAGCUCUCUACAUCUAAACCAUUGCACUCAUUCCCUCUUCCCCUCUCCACCUUCC